UACAGAGGUCUCGAGCGUUGUUCGGAUUCAUUGGGCGUAAAGGGCGCGUAGGCGGCGGGGUAAGUCUGGUGUGAAAUCUCGGAGCUCAACUCCGAAAUUGCACUGGAUACUGCUCUGCUAGAGGGCUGGAGAGGAGAUCGGAAUUCACGGUGUAGCGGUGAAAUGCGUAGAUAUCUGGAGGAACACCGGUGGCGAAGGCGGCAUCCUGGACCGACACUGACGCUGAGGAGCGAAAGCCAGGGGAGCAAACGGG
rnacentral:rRNA from 1 species